AUUGAACGCUGGCGGCAUGCCUUACACAUGCAAGUCGAACGGUAACGGGCCUUCGGGUGCCGACGAGUGGCAAACGGGUGAGUAAUACAUCGGAACGUGCCCGAUCGUGGGGGAUAACGAGGCGAAAGCUUUGCUAAUACCGCAUACGAUCUACGGAUGAAAGCAGGGGACCGCAAGGCCUUGCGCGGACGGAGCGGCCGAUGGCAGAUUAGGUAGUUGGUGGGAUAAAAGCUUACCAAGCCGACGAUCUGUAGCUGGUCUGAGAGGAUGAUCAGCCACACUGGGACUGAGACACGGCCCAGACUCCUACGGGAGGCAGCAGUGGGGAAUUUUGGACAAUGGGCGCAAGCCUGAUCCAGCCAUGCCGCGUGCAGGAUGAAGGCCUUCGGGUUGUAAACUGCUUUUGUACGGAACGAAAAGCCUUCUUUUAAUACAGGAGGGUCAUGACGGUACCGUAAGAAUAAGCACCGGCUAACUACGUG
rnacentral:rRNA from 1 species